rnacentral:rRNA from 1 species
UGGGGAAUAUUGGACAAUGGGGGCAACCCUGAUCCAGCCAUGCCGCGUGAGUGAUGAAGGCCUUCGGGUUGUAAAGCUCUUUUGGCGGGGACGAUGAUGACGGUACCCGCAGAAUAAGCCCCGGCUAACUUCGUGCCAGCAGCCGCGGUAAGACGAAGGGGGCUAGCGUUGUUCGGAAUUACUGGGCGUAAAGCGAGUGUAGGCGGUUGCCCAAGUCAGGUGUGAAAGCCUUGAGCUCAACUCAAGAAAUGCACUUGGUACUGGGUGGCUAGAGGACCGGAGAGGAUAGUGGAAUUCCCAGUGUAGUGGUGAAAUACGUAGAGAUUGGGAAGAACGCCAGUGGCGAAGGCGGCUAUCUGGACGGUUACUGACGCUAAGACUCGAAAGCGUGGGGAGCAAACAGG